rnacentral:rRNA from 1 species
UACGUAGGUGGCAAGCGUUAUCCGGAAUUAUUGGGCGUAAAGCGCGCGUAGGCGGUUUCUUAAGUCUGAUGUGAAAGCCCACGGCUCAACCGUGGAGGGUCAUUGGAAACUGGGAAACUUGAGUGCAGAAGAGGAAGGUGGAAUUCCAUGUGUAGCGGUGAAAUGCGCAGAGAUAUGGAGGAACACCAGUGGCGAAGGCGACCUUCUGGUCUGUGACUGACGCUGAUGUGCGAAAGCGUGGGGAUCAAACAGG